GACGCCGAAGGUGGGGCUGAUGACUGGGGUGAAGUCGUAACAAGGUAGCCGUACCGGAAGGUGCGGCUGGAUCACCUCCUAACAGGGAGACAAAAACUGAUCGUGAUGCCUAAGUGAAUAUUCUUAGGUCAUGAUCCUGUCACCUUAGGUCGAUCGGUACCUCAAAUUGAUAAUGAAUUAGGACCUGAGAUUCAGCUCUUAAUUAUUAAUUUCAGUUCCUAAACUUUGUCUAGGUCACACCCAGCAAGGGUACUCCUGGGCCAUUAGCUCAGGUGGUUAGAGCGCACCCCUGAUAAGGGUGAGGUCCCUGGUUCAAGUCCAGGAUGGCCCAUUCGGUGUUGGGGGUAUAGCUCAGUUGGUAGAGCGCCUGCUUUGCAAGCAGGAUGUCAGCGGUUCGAGUCCGCUUACCUCCACUGAUCAACUUCCUGAUAGCGAGAAAGAAGGAGAUUCUCUUGCUUUAAUUGACUUAGACGUUGUUUUAUCUGAAACGAACCUAGCUUCCUAUCAUUCCUUGUUUAACUAAAACUUAGACCAGGUUGACAGGAAACUGGGCUCUAUACAAUUCGAGAGAAUUGUAGAGAUGUUCAGUAGAACCUUGACAACUGCAUAGGUGAGUCUGGAAAGAAUAAAAGCAUCUCAUGGAUGCAUUAUUCUUUAAUUUAUUAUCAACCGAUCGGUUGAUAAUAAAUAGAGAUUAAUGUUUAAUUCUUGAGUUAAGAGCCGAGACUUUA
rnacentral:misc_RNA from 1 species